rnacentral:tRNA from 1 species
GGGGCCGUAGCUCAGUUGGGAGAGCGCAGCAAUCGCACUGCUGAGGUCACCGGUUCGAUCCCGGUCGGCUCCACCA